rnacentral:tRNA from 1 species
GUCCCUGUAUCGUAAUGGAUAUCGCGUUGGACUUCUAAUCCAAAGAUCGUGGAUUCGAAUCCCACCUGAGAUG